rnacentral:lncRNA from 1 species
AAUAUGUUAAAAUCGUAAACAUACUAAAUAGUUAUAUAUAUAUAUAUAUAGGCACAUGUAUGUACAUACGUAUAUUUAUAUACGCAUAUAUCCUUGACAAUAGAAACUGUAAAACAACAAGAUGCAUAAGUUUGAAAACAAAGUGAAGGGGAUAUGCAACAUAUUUAGUGACGACGCAAAAUGCAAUAAAACCAAAGGGAUAAAAAAGUUAUGUUCCUUUAUAAAAAAGAACAUUACUAUUUCAAAAGAUGUUCAAACCAACUGCGUUAAUAUAUUAUUAGAAAAUGGUUACCUAAAUAUAAUUUAUGUUACGCUUUUUAAAGUAAUACAUAAUAAUAAAAAUGAGUCCAAAUUAGAGAAUAAUGAUAAUAAGAUUAUUGAACAAAUUUUUUUUACUUUAAAUUGGGUACUUCGUAAUGUUUUUCAAAAAGAUAACAAAAGUGAACAGGAUGGAUUGUGUUAUACUAUUUCAGAAAUGUUUGAAAACAAAGAAGAAUUAAAUAAAUAUGAAAAAUUUGAAGAAUCUAAAGGAUUUAUAAAUAUAUGUAAAUUGUUAAGUGAGAAUUUAAUUUUUUUUCAAAAUUUGUUUUUAGUUACAUUUAGUUAUAAUAAAGUACAUAUUUUGAAUUGUUUAUUUUACUUUUUAAUUUAUAAUAAAAAGUUUUGUGACUGUUUUAUUGAGUUGAAUGGUAUAACAUAUUUGAUUAAAAUAAAUGCUAGUAUGAAAAAUUUACCAAUUAAAGAAGCAGAGUCGUGUGGUAGUAACAAGAAGAUAAACCAAAAAAUAUAUGAAGAGAACGAGGAAGGUUUAUACAACAAACCAUAUAAUCAGAUUGAACAAGCCAAUGUAACUAUAACAACAGGAUCCAAUGGUAAAAAGGAGAAAGACAAACACUAUUUUUUUGAGUAUGACUUCGAAGUAGAACUGAUUUUUUUAUAUAAGUUAUUAGCACAUGGUAUUAUUAAUUACCCCAAUAGUCGCAAUUUGUCUAAGAUCAUGAAAAAAUGUGAAUGUUAUGGUGAAAUAUGUGAGAGAGGUAAGAAUGGUGAAAGUAAAAUUAUGAAAGAAAAAGCAUUUGCAAUGGAAAAACACAAAAAUAAAGAAUUUACUAUAGAUAAAAAUGAUAUAAAUGUAAUAAGAAUG